GACGAACGCUGGCGGCAUGCUUAACACAUGCGAGUCGAACGGAAAGGCCCUGCUUUUGUGGGGUGCUCGAGUGGCGAACGGGUGAGUAACACGUGAGUAACCUGCCCUUGACUUUGGGAUAACUUCAGGAAACUGGGGCUAAUACCGGAUAGGAGCUCCUGCUGCAUGGUGGGGGUUGGAAAGUUUCGGCGGUUGGGGAUGGACUCGCGGCUUAUCAGCUUGUUGGUGGGGUAGUGGCUUACCAAGGCUUUGACGGGUAGCCGGCCUGAGAGGGUGACCGGCCACAUUGGGACUGAGAUACGGCCCAGACUCCUACGGGAGGCAGCAGUGGGGAAUAUUGCACAAUGGGCGGAAGCCUGAUGCAGCAACGCCGCGUGCGGGAUGACGGCCUUCGGGUUGUAAACCGCUUUCGCCUGUGACGAAGCGUGAGUGACGGUAAUGGGUAAAGAAGCACCGGCUAACUACGUG
rnacentral:rRNA from 1 species